GACAUUUUAGUAUAUUUCGUACAUUUGAUUUCCAAUCAAAAAGAAAUAAAUAUUA
rnacentral:tRNA from 1 species